UUUUUUUAGAACCAGAAAUAACACGCUACAAUGGAGAUAAAGAACGUAAGCAAGAAUGUCGGCAUGAGUCGCGUUAUUUCAUAUAUUAAAUAGGGAGACCUAUCCCAUUUUUGGAGAGGAAUCUGGCGUCAAGAGGGGAUGAAAGAGGAGCCGUUACAGAGACUGAAGCCUCGACCCAUCACCGGAGUUAGUAGUUACCAUAACAAACAAUAGUUCGAUUACCCUUGGAUGAUGUGUCCUUUAUAGCACUUUAAACGUCUAAUAAGUUAACUGUAUGUUAAUCUUGGUUGGUCUUUGUAUCAGUUACACAAACUGUGACUUUAUCUGAAGUACUUGAGAUGGGCACCUAAGGCAUAUUAUUUAGCAAGCAAUAGUGGAGGUGACAAACAGGCUCAUUACGUACUGGUCCUAACUAUGUUCUGUUGUCAAAGAAAAAGCCUCUCAAACAUUUUCAACUUGAAAUGGACUCAUCCAGUCACUCUGACGAGGAAAAAUCAUUUGGAAUGCAGAUGUGAAGAAGUGAGACACUGGGCUUUCCCCAGUCAAUGGAGUUUUCAACCAUUGGCAACAACAGAUUUGUUAUGUUUGAAGGCAAUAACUCAGCUCUUGGUUGUCUUUGGGCUUAGACAUUUAUGUCUUUGAGACAUAAAAAUGGUAUAAAAGAUUGUUCAUGUCAGGUUAUGUGUAAUUUCAAGAUUGUUUAGUUCCUGUACACAGGUAGCUUUAUAUUUUUGUUCAGUUCCUGUUCACAGGUAGCUUUAUAUUUUGUUUAGGUCUCUUUGCAUUGAGAUUAGUAUGAUCUGUUGAUGUCUAGGCCUUUUUUAAACUUAACAGCCUGUUUCUGACCGUAGAAUAUAAUGCCUUAAUUUGUAAUGUCAGUUAAAAUUUGUAGUCAUUAAGGCAGUAAUUUUAGUGUAUGAAUUUAGCUUGCAAAACCUCUUGUCUGUAAUUUUUUCUAUUCCAUUUUUUUAUUGUUUACGAGAACAGUAUUUUAUGAUAAGUGCACUUGUUUUUUGAAAUGAUAGAGUAAAUGAAUUUGCCCAGUGCUGCACUCUGGUGCACCGCCCAGUCAGUUUAUAUAUAUUGUACAUUUUAAAAGGCUUCCUGACUGUAAUUUGGUUAUAUGUAUAGAGAACUUUUAUCAUUCUUUAGUUGGUUCGCUUUACUCUGUGAUCAAAAAUUUCUUUUGACAUAAGAAUGGACUACCAUAUUUAACUCUAUAGAAAGAAUUAUUGUUUUGCAUUUACAAAUUAGCAAAGAAGGCUUACCAUGUUGCUUUGUGCAGUAACACAGUGAGUUAAGGUAUAAUGGGUAGACAUUUUAUUUGCCUUUACUUAUGGAUCGUUAGGUAAUGAUACGAAUGAAGCUAGCUUUACAUUAUUCUAUUUAUAUAUUCCAAGUUCAGAUAAAUAUUUGUAAUGAAGACAAUAUUCAUGGGUGCUGUAGGUACAGUUAUUGGAAGUACGUAAAUGAGUUAUUUUAGAUUAAUUGGACAAGGUGGACCUAUGAUUCUGAAUUAUUGUCAUUUUAGGUAUGUACUGUGAGGUGUGCAUUGUAAUAUCAUAGAAUUAUCAGACCACUCAGUAACAAGCCCUGAGACUGUGUCUGAAGAGAGUUUAUAAAUGUAAUUUAUAAUUUUGUCAAAGUUCUUUACAAUAAUAAUAGUAAGAAGACAAAGGAGAUUUUGAGAAGGGUUGAUUAUGGGAUGUUAAGAUUUAAAGCCAGAGUAGGUUGGAUGCGCAUGAGGAAAUAUUGGAGAUACGUCAUGUUAAGCAGCUCUGAACAGACUUGGAUCUCAAAGACUGAAAUGGUCUGGGCAUGUGAUGAGAAGGGAUAAGGAAGAGUAUGUCAGAAAGGUGGUAAAUAUAGAAGUAGCAAGACUUAGGGUGCGUUAACACAGUCGAACAACGUCCGACGGACAAACAUUGUUACCAAUUACAAUUGCUUACCAGAGUUUGCCUUGUGAGCAGAGUAAGAACAGUGAUAUACAACUUCAACUGGUACCACAGUUUGUUGCCAGAUCUACUUUCCUCGUUUCAACACUUUUGACGUCAUCCUGCUUCGCCUUUGAUAUGGCAACAAUGUUUGUCCGAUGGGCAUUGUUCGACUGUGUAAACGCACCUUAAGAAGACUUGUAAAAAAGGCCCAGGAUAACUUAGAAAAAGAUGAUAGAUCAAGGCCUAUAUCAGGUAGGAAAUGAGGUUGAAAUUUGUGUCCUUUGAUGAUAAUGACUAGUAAGUAUAGUAGUUGUGAUUAAUAAUGAGUAGUGGGGGCAGAGAGGAAUUAUAAGGAAAGUUUAGGACAUAAGAUAGGUAGAAAACUGAUUGAUUUAUAGUGCCCAAUCUAGGAGUUUGACAAAAAGUGAUAGCAUUGUUUUGAAGGAGUUGUGUAAGGAGCAUAAAGCAGUUUAUCAAAAGCAUUGAGAUUUUUGUUUCUGUUAAAGAAUUUAGGGUAAAGGUAAGCGUUUUAUCAUUUGACGACAUGCAUCACGUUCAGAAAGAUGAAUACAAAAGGAAUCAUUUAAGAAUAUUUUGUAAAUUAUUUAGCCAGACUUUUAACAAAGAAUUCAAUAGAAUUUUGCUGCAGAGUUAAAUGUGGUCUCCCACAUUUACAAAGUUCACUUUGUAUUGUUGACAUUGCUCUUAAGUUCAGUUUAAAGUUGAAGUUCUCUUCCAGAUGUACAUAGUUUAGAUGAACUGGAAAGAAUAAAGGCUUGUGCCCACACCCCAAGGGGCUGGUCUUUUAAGACUGAGCUGGUGCUACUUGAGCCGUCCCAACUGCUGCCCUGCUACUGGAAGCCUUAUGGGAGCCAAAACCACGAGAGUAAUAAUUGUGGUUUGGUCUGCUCACUCUUCUCUAAGUGUAAAUAUGACAAAUGUUUGGGUACUGGAAGCAUUUUGUCCCCCGGACAUCUACCAGUUGGUUAAUAUUUAUUGGAAUAGGUAUAUCUCAAAUCAAUUUCAUAAGAAUAUAGAUCUUAAGAUCGUGAUGUUGACAUUUUUAUCGUACUGGUAUAGCUUUUUACUUCAAUGGUUUGAAAUUUGCAAAGGUGUAUUAACUGUCACAAAACCAAAGAUAAUUGUGGAUACAGGGGAAACUGAAAAAAAAUCUUGAGUCAUAGUUGUAAUUUGCCUUGAUGUCAAUGUUCAAGUUCUGCUUAGCUAACAAUAAUCCCCACACUAUUUAUAACUAAAUGAAAUAAUUCACAGGAAAUGUUUUUGUAUUUUUGCAAGGUGUAUCUGUAUUAGUUUGGGCUUGAAGUCAGUUUAUAGCAUUCUGUCUGGGAUGCAUAGAAAAGCACAAAUAAUGUGAAUGUAAACAUCAUUAAUUCUUGGGCCUUUUUUAGUUUAUAAUUGUACCCUGUCCCAUGAAGGGCACAGAAGAGUUUUAAGGACACCUUUAUAUUCAGGGUAUCAAAAACUUUCUAGAAGGGGGAUCAGUAGCACUCUAUACCUGUCCAAGUUUCAUUGCAUUCAUUGCAUGCAUUGUUUCUUAUUGUGCAGUUGACUGCAGAAGAGUGUAACAAGCAAAUGGUUGCAUCAUUUCACCCAGAACUGGUGCAGCAUGAGCCUUUCAUUUCCUUAAAUUGCCUGUACAUGUAUUGUUACUUCCUGCUGAUUUGUAUUAAAGGAUGGAGCAAAUGGCCACAGUAAUUCCGAGGGUAGAUUCAUGUGGAGAAUGGAGUAAUUAAAUUUUAUACAGCAAUUGUUGUUAUAAAUUCAUAACUGUUAAAAACAUGUUUUAUAUAUCGCUGUCAUGUGUGUAUGUGUGUGUAAUGAGCUAUUUCUUAUGCUAGGGAAUACAUUUUAGACUGCAGUGAUGUAUAUGGAUAGACUUUUCAAAAGCAGAGUUGUUCAUCAUUACAGAAAUGAUCACAGGAGUGUCUGUCUCUGCAAAGUUUGGAUUGUAGACAAAUAUUGUGGUUCAGAGUCUGUCUUCAUCAUUUUUCUUCAGUAUUCCAUUGCCUCAUCGCAUUGUUGGUUAGCUUUAGUGAAUUACAGUAGUACAUAUUUGUGUUAAUGAUGCACUCUUUAGGUUUCAGACUUUGCUAUUCCAAGUUUAACAAUGACAGAUAGUGACUUGUUGUCUGGUUUUGUCAAAUGUAAGAUGUGCUAUGGAAGCCUGUAAAUUUGUUGUCAUGAUAGAAGAGAUUGUAUAUUAAAUCCAUGGCUGAUCGUAGAGGAAAAAAUUGCACAAAAAAUUGAUGAUGAUAGUUAUGAUAUUGGCUCUACCUUUAAGCCUAUAUAGGAGCUUAAGACAAUUCUCGGUAUGAAGUGAAAGGAAUUAUCACAGCUUCAUCCGUUACUUGUGAACAUAAAAAAAGAUGAAAUCUUAAAAUCUUUCCAACAUACAUUUAAAAAAAUAAGCGGCUAGAUGAAAUGAAGCAACAGACAUAAUACUCCCUUAUCUCUAACAGAAUUUUUCACUAUACCAGUCAUGCUUUUGUCCACAUAGUAUAAGGUUUACUUUAUUGUUAACAUCUACAAAAUAAACCGGUUCACCUUCCUAUUCCACUUCUAUCAGUUCACUUUUCGUUUUUUGGUGGCAUUUCAAAGCAUUGUAAAGUAAUUGUUUUGGUCCAAUUACUGACAUAUUGAGAAUAUACAGGAUUACUGACACAAAAGUAAUAAUUAUGUACCUGAUGGAACGUUUGGUAUGGUGAUACUCAACUUACUUCUCAAACGAGGAGUCUUUGUGUUUGCUGUAUCAUCAGUUUUGGUCAGUCUCAAUAAUCAGAGUUGAGGUUAGGAUAAACGUUUCAUGGAUUACAGUGUGAAAUAUUUACUAGUUUUUUUUCCGGAAGUAAUUGUUUAACAGUUUUGCUGUUCACCCCUGUCAUCCCACUUCUUGAGCACCGUACCCUGUUCCUGUCUCCAGGAAUUUUAAUGUCACAGCUUAAAACUCUAUCAUUACAGAGUUCACACUUCCGCCAGCCAAGGAUGUAAAGAUUUCUUAUUUUCUCAUGAUGCAUUUUAAAUCCAAUUUGAAGGUUUAGUGUGUUCUCCAUUCCGGAAUUCCCACGAGAUUUUUCUUUGAGACUGUCUUCAGUUGGGAUAAAAUUGAUUUAGAUUUUGUAAGAUUAGUGAACUUUAUACUCCAUAUCAUUCUGGUCAGAACGAGGUGUUGUGUGCUCGUAUACUUAAAUCCAUUCUGAAUUGUUGGCCUGCAGUUUGGAAAAUUUAUUUAGUAUAUUGUGCCCAAAUCUUUCCUGGACUUAUUAAACUCUGGGGGAUUUAUUUCAGCUUUGGUUUGUAGGUCUGUUUAAAUUUCUCUCUCUCUUGUCCAAAGAGCUUCUUUUAUGUUUAUGAUUUUGAAUCUUGUCUUGAGUUUCCUUCUCUUAGCAUGAGAGAUUUACAUUGUCAUCUAGAUACCUUUUUCUCUGUUCUAAAGGAUUCCUUUCAUGCUUGCUCUUUGUAAGUCCGUUAUGGAUUUCAUCCUGUUUUGUGUAAACAAUCUAGAAGUUAUUGCAUUGUUUAGUCUAAUUUAAAAGUGGCCAAAGCUUCUUAGGUAAGCAUAAUCUCUUUAUCACGUUUAAUUUUUCUGUGUGCCAUCUCUGUGUAAGGUCUCCUUGUCAGUAAUCCCAUUUACCCUUACUGAUUUUAGCACUUAUUUUACUCAGUAAGAGGUCAGUUGUUACUGACCUUUCUGAAGUGUUUCUUUGGUUGACGCUGUCAUCAGCUGUUCACCUGAAUGCUAGGGCACUCGCUUGAUAGCAAGGCACAUGUCAAACAUUACAGCUCUUGAUGCUGAUUGAAAGUUGUGAUUCAAGCAUCAGUUGAUAAGAUCAGUCCAUUUGUUAAGUAGUAAUUACCUGUAAUGCAAUUAACAAGUGUAACUAUUCUUGGGUAAACAAUACACACAUAGCCUUCAUUUGCCAGCAUUUGUUUAUUUAGUUCUAAUUAAGUAACAGGCUGUUUUGGCAUUUUUCAUUUUUUUAUUGGUAGUUUCCUGAAAGAAGUUCUCAUCUGCUUUGCUAAAACUUCAAAUACUAAGUAGUGGACCAUGACUAUUGAACACUUGAUUCUCUCUCUCUCUCUCUCUCUCUCUCUCUCUCUCUCUCUCUCUCUCUCUCUCUCUCUCUCUCUCUCUCUCUCUCUCUCUCUGUUUGGUAUCAGGUUAGCAUAUUUUUGCUUCUGACUUUCAAACUUAAAAUUUCUCCAAAUGGAAGGUCUUGCUUUCAAUAUGCUGUUAUUAAAUAGUAAGAUGUGCAACAGGGCCUGUCUAUAAUUCUCCCUGUACAUCCUGUUUCCCUCCUCAUAUCCUAUAAUUUCCACAGUUGAUAUCUCAUCCGGCUGUUUUGUAUGUAUUUUACUAUAUGCAUCACAAGUUUUUCUCACCUUCCGUUAAAUCAUAGCACAGGACCACAGUCUAAUUUCAUUGUUUGUCCUUGCCACAGUUAUAUACUAGUUGCAAAAGUUGUCAUUUGUUAAUGGAUGUCAUUUGUUGUUAUUAUAUUGUGCUUCAUUUGUGAUUGAUCCUUGAUUUCAAAAGUAUAUUUGGGUUUUUGAAAGUUUAGUUUGGUUAGUAAUUGUAGGUGGCAUCAGACUGAGCACUGAACCUGCUCUUAGAGCAGCCCAUAUUUCCUGACUUUCAUUCUUUUGGGUGUUCAGCUUGCUGAUGUAUUAGAGAAAGGGGAGUUGUCCAUUCUGGUGUCCCCUUAGUCAGAGCGGAAGUUUCAUGGAAGUGAAUUCCAACUAAAGUUUAGAAUACCAGGUAUUAGAUUUUGUAGCCAGGAAGUGACACAAACAGUAGAAAGAGAUGGUAUGGUUAAUCCUAGCUUCUAAUGAUGAACCAUAAGGAACGAAGAGUUUUUGAUAGAUUUGGACUUGCACAUCUAGAUUUCUUGAUGGUUUUGUAGUUUCAAAGUUUUGUGAAGCUCAUUCAUAAAUCUGGAAGCUCACAGAGAAUGUUUUUAUCAAAAGGGUCUAGAUGAAGGUUAAAAAAACCUGUUAUACAGGUUGGCAGACCUUAAAGAUUUCAGUAGCCCUUACCAUCUUGUGCUCUAGGCAUCCACAUAAUUGAUGAAGCAAAGUUCUUUAUUCAGUGUGCAAUAAAAAGAAUCAACGUGGAUGCUACAACUGAGGUCAGGUUCUUCCUUCCUCUGGAUUCUAGCAUGCAUGAGAAUCCAUUUUGUGUUGAUGGUUAAUUCAGUUUUGGUGUUCACUGCCUGUGCCCUGAAUAUGCUAUUGAUUUUAGCCUGUCUUUUCAUUGGUUUCUGUAACACUCAUGCCUUCCUGGUUCCUAAACUACUUUGGUGAUUGAUGUUAAGUUUGAUUUUGGUCAGAGGAACUCUCCAAAAGCAUUUAGUAAUGUUCUGACCUAUUUACUAAGUAUUGGUUAUUGAUGUGCUGUUGACAACGUCUUCUGUUGCUCCUUACAUCUGCUUGAAGGACAUCUUGUUUUGUUUCUAGGAGGACAGUAUCAUUGCUUACUAUGGGAAGUAGCUGUUUCCUCAGUCACAGUCUUUAUAGUGGACGAGAUUUUAGGAGACCAGCCGCAAUAUUUUGUAAUCCAAUCUUUCCCCAGUGUUGUAUAGUAGAUUGCUUUUCUGAUUUGCUGGAGUGCCUCUCUAAAUCGUUGGAGUGCCUUUCAGAGUUGUUGGAGUUUUAUUCUUCAAAUUGGUCGAUAGAGACCUAAGGUUAAGGUUAGAAGUUCUUUUCUUAUCCUCAGUUAAUUACUUACGGUUGUCUUCUUAGCCUAGUUUUCUAGUGAGGCUGCUUCCAUGCUUGUUACUUUGGACUCUGAAAACAGGUUGUGUUACACAGUAGUAAUGUUUUACAAUUUUUUUAAAGAUUUAUUUUGUUAGGUUUGAGCUUUUUCACACUUCAUGUAGUAGGUGUUGUUGCCAGCAAUGUCAUUUGAAAGACAUAUUAGGUUGGAUGUUUUAUUGUUAUUGAUUGGCUCGACUUUAAAUUAACUUUGACUAGAUUGGUGCACUCAUCUUCAAUUAGAGGCAGGCAUUAUUCCAUUUUAAUUUCCAGUUUCCAUCUCUUAAUACAUAUACGACUGGUAUAUGGUCUGCUUUGUACAAAUGUCUGUUUCCUACUGUCAUGAUGAGGAUGGCUAGUUUCUCUGGUUUACCUGAUAUAACAGGUGGAAGGAAUAGUAUUUCAGUCUGAAGGUAGUAUUUAAGGGCAAAUGUUAUCAAAUAUUUGGCCUAAUCCUAGCCUGUUACUCUCUGAAUUGCACAAAUCAGUUAUUGCACUUGUGUAAGAGGUAAAUUUUUUUUCCUGUAGGUUGGUGCUAGAUGAGUAUGAAAAUUGGGAGUUGGUUAGUUUCGUUUCUAGCAGUUUACUUGCAAUAAACAGAAUCCAUAAAUGUUAAUGAGUAUGGUCAUAAAUUAUUUGGGCCAUAUCUACGUAAAGUGUGAUGGUGUGUAUGAGUCACUGAAGGCAAAAAUGUAUGCGUUUGAAUGAACUUGAAAUGCAAGCAACAGUCAUUAUGUUUAAAAUUGUACAUAAAGGACAGCCAGAAAUUAAGAUGGCCAGCACUAAGACGAGCAAUAAAAAGGACAUAUAUCCCAUAUUUAUGUCUUGGUUUAUAGAGUAUGCAGGAAAUAACUUUAUGUUUUAUGUACAGAUGGUUUAAUUUAAUGUUAAAGGUCAAGUAGUUGUCCUCUAAGGAAGGUAUUUGGAUGCUACAGUUUGGUAUCUAAGGUUGCCUUGAUACCAUUGGUAUGUCGUUCAGAGUCUUACCUUGGUGGGUGUACUGCCUGUGCUAAUUCAUCAAUGUAGGGGAAUGUGACAGUAGUCCAAUCGGACGCCUUAUUGGCUGGGGUGAAGCUUUAUGGUGUCCGGGUAGUGCCCUGCAUUGAUGUCAUCCCCUCUUCUGAAAUCUCUUGCUCAUACGAGAAGCACUGUGUGAAUCUAACUCUUGGAUUUGUGUUUAGUCCUACUGCUUUCAAGGGAACUUUUGUUAUCUUGAUAUAAUAAAAUGCACUUGAAAUAAGGACUCUACCUUCAGUGGUGACCUGGAACUUAUAAGUAAAUUAAAAAUAUCUGAGCAUUAUUGGUAUUACAGUCAUGUUCAAUUAAUUUUUUUUUUUUUUUCUGAAUAAAAGACGACAUUCACAAGUUUCGGCUUUCAAUGUCGGUUUCAACUAGAGUAACACGCAAUAUUUUUCAGCCGAAGUAAGAAAAGUGCUCUCUUUUAUUAUAGUCUACAUUAAUAAUGAGUAAUGAUAUUCAAAUUUUCAGUCUGCUCUUUAAAGAAUUGUGAAAUGGCACUGCCAAAAUUAGGCUAGAUCACUAAUUGAGCUAGUUUAUAUUGCCAUUUGUCACUCCAGUACUUUCUAGAAGGCAAAUUUGCUCUCAGAUUAGACCUUGGGAAAGAUUGACUUGGUCUAGUUUCAAUUAUGACUAAAGAAUUUUCUCAAGUCCUACGGUGUCCAAAAUUAAUUUUCUGGUUCCGUAACUUCAACACCUUCAUGAAUUUCAACCUAGUACCUUUCUAUCACUAUGGAAAAAAAAUGUCAGAAACAGUCUAAAGUUUUGGUUGUUAUGAAGGUAUUUAGACUUAUUCCAGUGUAAUAUUAACAACCUAGGUAGUGUCCUGGGGACAGAAUGCUUCCUGUAAGCAAAUGUUACUUCCAUUUAAGAGAAAGACAGAGACUCAAACUUGUCAAAUAAGUUGCUCUGGGGAUGUUUGACUUCUUCAUAGGUUCUCUGAUCUGUAGGGCCGUAGAAAAGGCUCUUAGUGCCAGCAAAAUCAGUUUUAUGAGGUCAGCCCCUAUUUGGGAGAGACACUAAAUGACUGACCGGUAAUUUUAUUUUUUUUUUAAUUUACUAAAAAAAAAAUUAAAUAUACUAUUGUAAUAUUUUCAUGUUCUGUUUAAUUGGAAAUAAAAAGCCAUGUAAAUAAGUUUUUAUUUUAUUGACCUUUCUGUUGAAUCACAUUUACCUGAACAGAGUACCAUUAGAGAUUUUUUAUACAUAAAUGUAUUUAGAUGAGAGACACCUUAAUCAGGUGGGGAGCUACAUUGCAAAACAAGCUUUGACGUUCUCUCCUCUCCUUUAUUCAG